rnacentral:rRNA from 1 species
GCCCCCCUCAAGAUGAGAUUUCCCAGUAUGUAAGACCCCUUGAAGACGACGAGGUAGAUAGGCUGGGGGUGGAAGUGCAGCAAUGCAUGGAGCUGACCAGUACUAAUCGGUCGAGGGCUUAUCCUA